rnacentral:tRNA from 1 species
GGGAAUAUAGCUCAGUUGGUAGAGUGCUUGCCUAGCAAGCACAAGGUCCUGGGUUCAAUCCCCUGCCA